AUUGAACGCUGGCGGCAUGCUUUACACAUGCAAGUCGAACGGUAACAGGCCGCAAGGUGCUGACGAGUGGCGAACGGGUGAGUAAUGCAUCGGAACGUGCCCAGUCGUGGGGGAUAACGCAGCGAAAGCUGCGCUAAUACCGCAUACGAUCUAUGGAUGAAAGCGGGGGACCGUAAGGCCUCGCGCGAUUGGAGCGGCCGAUGUCGGAUUAGGUAGUUGGUGGGGUAAAGGCUCACCAAGCCAACGAUCUGUAGCUGGUCUGAGAGGACGACCAGCCACACUGGGACUGAGACAGGGCCCAGACUCCUACGGGAGGCAGCAGUGGGGAAUUUUGGACAAUGGGCGCACGCCUGAUCCAGCAAUGCCGCGUGCAGGAUGAAGGCCUUCGGGUUGUAAACUGCUUUUGUACGGAGCGAAACGGCUUCCACUAAUACUGAGGGCUAAUGACGGUACCGUAAGAAUAAGCACCGGCUAACUACGUGCCAGCCGCCGCCGUAAAAC
rnacentral:rRNA from 1 species